CCUACGGGAGGCAGCAGUGGGGAAUAUUGCACAAUGGGGGGAACCCUGAUGCAGCAAUGCCGCGUGAAGGAUGAAGGUUUUCGGAUUGUAAACUUCUUUUGUACGGGACGAAGAAAGUGACGGUACCGUAAGAAUAAGCCACGGCUAACUACGAGCCAGGAGCCGCGGUAAUACGGAGGUGGCAAGCGUUAUCCGGAUUUAAUGGGUGUAAAGGGCGAGUAGGCGGGAUUGCAAGUCAGAUGUGAAAACUAUGGGCUCAACCGAUAGAUUGCAUUUGAAACUGCAGUUCUUGAGUGAUGGUGAGGCAGGCGGAUGUCCCGGGGUAGCGGUGGAUUGCGUAGAUACCGGGAGGAACCCCAGUGGCGAAGGCGGCCUGCUGGCCAUUAACUGACGCUGAGGCGCGAAAGCGUGGUGUGCAAACAGGAUUAGAUACCCUAGUAGU
rnacentral:rRNA from 1 species